rnacentral:rRNA from 1 species
UAAUACGGAGAGGGCAAGCGUUGUUCGGAUUUACUGGGCAUAAAGAGCACGUAGGCGGGUCGGUCAGUCAGUUGUGAAAGCCCGGGGCUCAACUCCGGAACUGCAUCUGAAACUGCCGGUCUGGAGGACGAGAGGGGAGAGUGGAACUUCUGGUGGAGCGGUGAAAUGCGUAGAUAUCAGAAGGAACACCGGUGGCGAAAGCGACUCUCUGGCUCGUUUCUGACGCUGAGGUGCGAAAGCUAGGGUAGCGAACGGGAUUAGAUACCCCGGUAGUCCUAGCCGUAAACGAUGAGCACUAAGUAGGGGGAGUUCUGACACUCUCCCUGCCGUAGCUAAUGUGUUAAGUGCUCCGCCUGGGGAGUAUGGUCGCAAGGCUA